AGUUGGAGGUCACGGUGAUGCUUCCACGCAGGCGACGACAAAUCCCGAGAGGAAGCCCUUUGAGAUCCCCUCUUUUCUCUACAUCCGCUCUUCCUCCUUUCUUUGCUGUGUCUUUCGAGCGAUUCGAGGAUUCCGUUGCCUGAAAACGAACUCGGUCGGGCGAAGGCAAUGGAUCGGUCGCGUUUGCUGGCGGUAUUGGUUUUGGUCUGCGUGAUGUCGGCUUGUCGAGGGAGAGAACUUAGGAUUGGUAGCGAGGACAAUAGUCAUGUGUAUAACCAUACUCUUGCCAAGAUACUUGUUGAAUAUGCGUCUGCUGUGUCUAUGUCAGAUCUAACUGCAUUAUUUAGCUGGACUUGCUCUAGAUGUACCGAUUUGACAGAGGGUUUUGAGGUCGUAGAGCUGAUUGUUGAUGUUAAGAACUGUUUACAGUCAUUUGUUGGUGUUGCUCAUGAUCUUAAUGCUAUUGUAGUCGCAUUCAGAGGAACUCAAGAGAACAGUCUUCGUAAUUGGAUUCAAGACCUCUUCUGGAAGCAGCUAGAUCUGAACUACCCAGACAUGCCUGGUGCCAUGGUGCACCAUGGUUUUUAUUCUGCUUAUCAUAAUACAACACUACGCCCUGGGAUCAUUAGUGCUGUUCAAAAGGCUAGGGAGUUAUAUGGAGACAUUCCCGUCAUGGUUACAGGGCAUUCAAUGGGAGGGGCUAUGGCUUCCUUUUGUGCACUUGAUCUUACUGUCAAUCACAGAAUACAGAAUGUUCAACUUAUGACAUUUGGACAACCUAGGGUUGGCAAUGCUGUUUUUGCUUCAUAUUUCAGCAAUCAUUUGCCACAUGCAGUUCGAGUUACCAAUGAGCAUGAUAUUGUGCCACAUCUACCACCAUAUUACUCUUACUUUCCCAAGAAGACAUACCAUCACUUUCCAACAGAGGUAUGGAUCCAUAACUUUGGAUUAGAUAGUCUUGUGUAUAUUACUGAGAAGAUAUGUGAUGGUUCUGGUGAAGACCCUUCGUGUAGCAGGUCUGUAAGUGGGAACAGUGUAGCAGAUCAUCUGGAGUACUUCGGGAUUGAUAUGCAGGCAGAUACUUGGGGCUCCUGUGGAAUCGUGUUCAACGAAAAUAUGGUGCAGUAUCAAGUAGAUCUUGCAGGAAACAUUGUCUUAUCGAAGUGGCCAACUGUUUCAUCAACUCCACAACAAAUUAUAGAAGCAGAUAAAGGUCGGAGUGCUUCUUAGCAUCCCCAGCCACCACCACCAAAAUAAGGAAAACAGAAGGAAGAAUGGGGAACUACAUGUACAUAGUUCUUAUGGUUUACAAGAUUAGCCAGCAUUGCCAAAGCUGUAUCUAUACAUUCACGAGGAAUAAAUCCUAGCAUCAUUAAUAUGUUUACCAAUUCUAAGGUGCAUAAUUUCAUGGGAGGAAGUCAGGUUGUCUGUCUGUAUUGACAAGACCCGGUUGGAAGUAAUGAAUCCCAAAGGUUCCAUGAUUCCUCCAUCUAAUGCUUACUUAAUCCGCUUGUAGUUUGUUAUAUUUAAUAUUUUAGUUUUUAUAAUUUAAAAAAUUAUAUUGACAUCUCUAUAGUAUGAAAGUGAAAUAAACAUCGUCGAUUUUAUGAAUGAUAAAAAGAUAAUUUUAAUAUUUUAAUUGA